rnacentral:rRNA from 1 species
GUGGGGAAUCUUGCGCAAUGGGCGAAAGCCUGACGCAGCCAUGCCGCGUGAAUGAUGAAGGUCUUAGGAUUGUAAAAUUCUUUCACCGGGGACGAUAAUGACGGUACCCGGAGAAGAAGCCCCGGCUAACUUCGUGCCAGCAGCCGCGGUACUACGAAGGGGGCUAGCGUUGCUCGGAAUUACUGGGCGUAAAGGGCGCGUAGGCGGACAGUUUAGUCAGAGGUGAAAGCCCAGGGCUCAACCUUGGAAUUGCCUUUGAUACUGGCUGUCUUGAGUACGGGAGAGGUGAGUGGAACUCCGAGUGUAGAGGUGAAAUUCGUAGAUAUUCGGAAGAACACCAGUGGCGAAGGCGACUCACUGGCCCGUUACUGACGCUGAGGCGCGAAAGCGUGGGGAGCAAACAGGAUUAGAAACCCGAGUAGUCC